GUGAGUGAGUGACAAAGACACUUCCUGUGUGCGUGUGUGUCGGAGGCUUUCAGUUCAAGAGAGAUCGGGGCUGAUGAAGAGUAUUUGGCGAAAUAUAAUGGUAAAGUAUCAGGAUAGUUGAUUACGGUGGUCAGGUCUGUUCAGAGGGGCAGAUUUGGACAGGAAAUUUAUAAUUUAAGGAUGAUAUGUGGUUGAAAUUGGUUUUUAUCUUGUGCUGAAUGAACACA